rnacentral:rRNA from 1 species
AACAGGAUUAGAUACCCUGGUAGUCCACGCCGUAAACGAUGUCGACUUGGAGGUUGUUCCCUUGAGGAGUGGCUUCCGGAGCUAACGCGUUAAGUCGACCGCCUGGGGAGUACGGCCGCAAGGUUAAAACUCAAAUGAAUUGACGGGGGCCCGCACAAGCGGUGGAGCAUGUGGUUUAAUUCGAUGCAACGCGAAGAACCUUACCUACUCUUGACAUCCACGGAAUUUGGCAGAGAUGCCUUAGUGCCUUCGGGAACCGUGAGACAGGUGCUGCAUGGCUGUCGUCAGCUCGUGUUGUGAAAUGUUGGGUUAAGUCCCGCAACGAGCGCAACCCUUAUCCUUUGUUGCCAGCGAUUCGGUCGGGAACUCAAAGGAGACUGCCGGUGAUAAACCGGAGGAAGGUGGGGAUGACGUCAAGUCAUCAUGGCCCUUACGAGUAGGGCUACACACGUGCUACAAUGGCGCAUACAAAGAGAAGCGACCUCGCGAGAGCAAGCGGACCUCAUAAAGUGCGUCGUAGUCCGGAUCGGAGUCUGCAACUCGACUCCGUGAAGUCGGAAUCGCUAGUAAUCGUGGAUCAGAAUGCCACGGUGAAUACGUUCCCGGGCCUUGUACACACCGCCCGUCACACCAUGGGAGUGGGUUGCAAAAGAAGUAGGUAGCUUAACCUUCGGGAGGGCGCUUACCACUUUGUGAUUCAUGACUGGGGUGAAGUCGUAACAAGGUAACC